CUGAAAUAGAAUGAGUUAAUAAUCACCAAUCUCCUUGGAUAGAGGCUUUUCUUCCCUAUCUAGGAAGGACUCUUUUCUAGGGUUAGGGAUUAGUUUUUUUUUUUUUUUUGUCCCUUUUGUGGAUUUUCCUGGUUGGUUUUCUCCUUCCUUUCUUGUUUCUAUGAGAUUGUUUGGGGUUCAGUCGGCGGGUUUGUGUUUUCUAUUGAUUAUUCUGUGCCAUUUUGUUUUGGUUAUAUGGCGUAAGAUUUAGCAAAGUUAUGGGAACGUUUUAAGCUAAUUGAUAAGGAAUCUCAGAUUUUAGAUUUGGAUCUGUUAGCGUCUGAUACUAUGGCAGGGCGUUAUGCUAAAUCUCUUAUGGGUCGAUUGCUGUCUGUCAAGCCUUAUGAUAUAAGUGGCUUGAGCGAAGCCAUGAUGAGCGCAUGGUGUCUACCAUGUAAGUUUACUAUUCAGAAUUUCUCAAACGAGAUGUUUGUGUGUGAGUUUGAAAUGAGAUCAGAUAAAAUGAAGGUCUUGAGAGAAGGACCAUGGCAUUUUAAUAAACAUCUCUUACUUUUUAAAGAGAUUGUUGGUUCAGAGCAGCCUUCCUCGAUGAUUAUUCAGGAGUGUAGUUUUUGGAUGCAUCUAUGUAAUUUGCCUUUUAACUGUUGAGGUCUCUCUUCAAUCCAAAAGGCUACUGUAGUGAUUGGGAAAGUUCAAGAGGUGAAUGUAGCAGAUGUUGAGGCUUGGGGCAAUGCAGUUCGAGUUUGAGUUUGAGUUUGUAUUGAUGUUUCUAAACAAUUAAAGAGAGGAGUUAUGCUGAAGAGGUUGACUGAAUAGAAUGUUUGGGCCUAUUUCAGUUAUGAGAGAUUACCAAACUUUUUAUUAUUUGUGUGGUUGCUUGGAUCAUGUGUUGGAUGACUGCGAAUUACACAAUGAUGAGGCUGUUGGGAAAGAGUGGCCCUAUGGACCUAGUUUGCUCUCUUCUCCUCUUUCUCAUAAGAUGUUUACUAGACACUCUAGGCAUGAGGAGGGUGUUCGAUCCCCAAGUGGUGGUGUAAGUUAGUUCCCUGUUCUUCUGUGGUUCGGCGCCAACUCCAUUUAGAUGAUCCAUCUGCGAGAGAAGAGAGUUCAGAAACUAAAAAUAAUCCUUCUUUUGCUGGUGUUCUACACCAUGACCAAUGAUCAGUUGACCAGGGUCGUGAGCUUGUCCUGGUUUCAUUAAGAGAGCAGUCUGGUGAUUUGGUGAAGGAGAAUAUUGUUAUAGAAAAUAAGGUUAUGGUUAUACCGGAAUGUAGGGAGGUGGGUGGUUUUGAGAGUGGGUUUUUAGCUCAAAGAAACCUCACAGAGGGAGGCCAAAGAAGACUCUAAUGUCUCUUCCAUUAUUUUGCUAAAGGGUAAGAAACAUUCUUGGAAAAGGAGGGCUAGAGGUAGCGGGGGGAAUGAAUCUGAUGCUGUGAUGGUUUCUGCUAGACCACAGAGCCCUUGCAGUUUGAAGAGGAAGGAGUUUAGUGGUGUGGAUAGGGCUAUACAAGGUUUUACUAGAGAUGAUUUUUCUGUUAAGAAACUCAUUAUUACAGAUGGUCAGUUUCCAACUUGUUCUUGUUAAGCAGUGGCUGCUCUGCAGCACUGCCAAUUUCCAUAAAACUCAUAAAUUGGAAUCUUCGAGGGCUGGGCAACCCUCAAAUGGUUCGCGCACUCCGCCAAUUGAUUUCUCUGUUGUAGCGGAUGGUUCUGGGCUUAUUUGGAAAGGUACACGUGUAUAUGGUUAGCCAGAAUCCUAAAAUAAAGCUCUUACGUGAAGUUUGCUUAGGUCUUUGAGGAAUUCUUCAUCUCUUCCUUAUUUAGUUUUCAAUGAUUUUAAUGAGGUUUUGUUCAGCUUUGAGAAAAAAGCCGGUUUGCCUGGCAAAAUAAUUCAAUGGACUCUUUUCGCUCUACUCUUGCUUCUUGUCAAUUAUCAGAUCUAGGAUUUUCAAGUUACCAAUACACUUGGGAUAAUGGACGAGGAGGAAAUGCCAACAUCCAAGAGCAUUUGGAUCAUUUUCUAGCUGAUUAUUCGUAGGCUGAAUUGUUUGGGUUAGUGGGAGUCACUCAUCUCCCUUGGAUGGUUUUGGAUCAUUGUCCUAUGAUGAUGCAAAUUGCUAUUGCAGACAUUCCUCAAGUAACCACUCUCGGCGGUUUCGGUUUGAAGAGAUGUGGGUACUUGAUGAGAGUUGUAUGGAUGUCAUCCGGCAGUCAUGGGAUGGAGGUGUUGACUCGAAUAGGGUUUCUUGUGGGAGGGUGGUGUUGGAGUACUUUCAUGAUCUUUUUGCUAGUACUGCUCCAUUGCAUUAUGAUGCUACUAUUCAUUCCAUACAGUCUUCUCUUUUAGAUGAAUUGAGGGAAUCUCCCGUGGUACCCUUUUCUUCAGAUGAGGUUGUUUUAGCUUUAAAACAUAUGCAUCCAGUGAAGGCCCUUGGACUUGAUGGUAUGCCAGCUUUAUUUUAUCAAAAAUAUUGGGAUAUUAUUAGGCCUAAUGUGACUUGAUGUGUGCUUUAGUUCUUAAAUUCAGGUCAGAUGCCUCCUGGAAUCAACCAUACUUUUGUUACUUUAAUUCCGAAGGUUAGUAAUCCAGAAGAGAUAAAGGAUUUAUGAUCCAUUAGCCUAUGUAAUGUUUUGUACAAAUUGAUGUCCAAGGUCCUGGCUAACCGGUUAAAGACAGUUCUUCCUACUUUGGUUUGUGAGUCUGAGAAUGCCUUUAUUGCUGGAAGGUUAAUAACUGAUAAUGCUUUGGUGGCAUUUGAGAUAUUCCAUUCAAUGAAGAACAGAAUUAGAGGAAGGAAGGGCAAUUUUGCAAUGAAGUUGGAUAUGAGUAAGGCCUACGAUUUGUUAGAAUGGGGGUUCUUGGAGCAAGUCAUGAUUAAAAUGAAUUUCCCUUCUCAUUUUAUUCGUUUGAAUAUGGUCUGUCUUUCUUCAUUGACCUUUUCUUUUCUAGUGAAUGGUAGGCCUUUUGAGAACCUUUCACCACAGUGUGGGCUUCAUCAGGGGGAUCCCAUUUCACCCUACCUGUUUUUAUUGUGUGCUAAAGGGUUCUUUUCUUUGAUUGUCCAAGCAGUGCAAAAUUGUUUAAUGCAUGGUAUGAAAGUUUGCCAGGCUAGUCCUCCAAUCUCUUAUCUAUUCUUUGCUAAUGACAGUGUUUUAUUUGCUCGAGCUUCAAGGGCAGAAUGUAUUCAGCUGAAGUGGGUUCUUACUUAGUGUGAGAUGGCAUCUGGGCAACACAUUAAUUAUGAUAAAACCAAACUCUCAUUUAGCUACAAUGUUCCGACUGUGAUGCGUAAUUGGUUUUGUGAUUUUUUUUUUUGUGUGAGAAUGGUGGGCCAUUAUUCAAAAUAUUUGGGUUUUCCUACUUAAUUGGUAGAUCUAAACGAGCAAUUUUUUUUUGUCUCUCUUAAGGAUCAUGUUUGUAGGAGAGUUCAGGGUUGGAAGACUCGGUUUCUCUCUCAAGCUGGGAAGAGGUGUUGGUUAAAUCGAUUGCUCAAUCGAUUCCUACAUAUAUUAUAAGUUGCUUUGCUUUGCUGGCUACCUUUUGUGAUGAGCUUGAAUGCAUUGUAAGGAAUUUCUGGUGGAGUAAUAUGGAGAGCAUUAAAGAAAUUCCAUGGAUUAGCUGGGAUCGGAUGUGUGGGGCAAGGCACAAGGUGGUAUGGGAUUUAGAGAGUUAAAGAGUUUUAAUAUCGAUUUAUUGGCCAAGCAAGGAUGGAGACUAAUUAUCAACACGAAUUCGCUUUGUGCCAGAAUCUUCCAAUCGAAGUAUUAUCCAAAUAGUAAUUUUCUUGAUGCACGAUGUGGUUCUGCUCCUAGUUAUUUAUUUGUAGUCUAUUGAAGGGAUGGGAUUUGCUUCUGGCGAGAGGGUGUUGGAAGGUAGGAUCUGGUGAUAAAAUUAAUGUUUGGACUGAUAAUUGGUUGCUUGGUCAUCAUCCUAUGAAACCUAUUGUGUUGGAUGCUAAAGUUGGGUUAUUGAUCAAUAGGGAUUGGAAGGUUGAUGUUAUUUGGAAUUCUUUUUUGCCAUUUGAACAAGAAGCUAUUUUGAGGAUUCCUCUAAGUAACUGCUUGCCUGAUGAUGAGUUUUUUUGGCCAGGAACUCGAAAUGGGGUGUAUUUGGUUAAAUUUGAGUACCGUUUUGCUCAUAUGAGCGGUCCUUAUGGAGCAAGUUCUUCGACCCUUUUAUCUAGUUUUGUAGGUUGGAAACUUAUCUGGUCAUUUAUCCAAAAGUCAUGUAUAUUGGUCAAAAGAUGUAGUGCAUGUGGUGAGUUGGAUGAAACUACUCUACAUGUUCUUCAAGAUUGCCCACAAGAGGUAUUUGUCUACUUUCACCUUGGGUUUGUGGGUGAAUGGUAUGAGGGAGAAUUAGCCUACACAAUGGGUGUCAAGGCUUAUCCAAAUUGCUAAUAGGCAAAGUUUCCAUCAGACUAUUGUGCUAUUGUGGUUGCUUUGGCAUGAGCAGAAUAAGUUAAUGUUGGGGAAUAAAGUGAGAGAACCACAACUAGUGGUGUCUGAUUUUCAUAAAUUCUCGACAGAAAUUAUUACAUCUGAAAUUGUUACUCAGGCUCUCAUCAUUCCUAGGCAACAUGACAAUAGAUGGUGUGUGCCACCUGUUGGUACUGUCAAGUUUAAUAUCAAUGCCUCAUUUGUGUUGGAUUCUAGCUCUAUGGGGGUUGGGUUGGUUGCUCAUGAUUCAGCUGGGGAAUUUAUCCUUGCUCUAUCCAAGGUCCUUUAGAAUGUUCAUAACGUAGAAACAACUGAAUGUGUUGCGCUGAGAUUAGGGAUGGAGUUCGCUAUUCAACGCGGCUUCAACAGAGUGUGUUUUGAAACUGAUUCUCAGCUGCUUCAUAAUGCUUUAGUUAGGAGGGACAAUGGUACGAAUCCUUUUUUUUCAUAUUGUUGACGAUUAUCUUCAUUUGGCUGGACAGUUUCAACAUUGUGUGUUCGCCUUCACGCGACGGUCGGGCAAUUCCUUAACAAAUGAUUUUGCGAAACUGGCUAUGAAGCAGCGAGUUGAUCUUAUUGUUCAUGAGAUUAUUCCAUCUCUUUUAUUUCCUUUGUAUUAGGGCGAUUUGUCCACCUGUUUGAAUUAGUAAUAUAAGCUGCAAAAAUAAAAAAAAAACUUUGAAAUAGAAUUGUUGUAUAUUUAUUUAUUUAUUUUGCAAAAAUAAUCCUACUGCAUGUUAUAUUUAUGUGUAGCUUGUGUCAAUCAGUGUAUUUGUACUUGGAUAUUCUGGGAUAAUGGACAAUUGUUGGUAGGUUACUAUUUUAUUUUC